CAUACAGCACUUCCGUCCGCUUUCAACUGUUCGGCGAGCUCCGGUCUCGCGGGCUUCAGGUAUGGGGUCCGCCGGCCUGGCUCGGCUGCAGGGGCUUUUCGCAGUCUACAAGCCCCCCGGGCUAAAAUGGAAGCAUCUACGGGAUACCGUGGAGCUGCAGCUUCUGAAAGGUCUCAAUGCUGGGAAGCCUCCUGCCCCUAAACAGCGUGUUCGCUUCCUGUUGGGACCCGUGGAAGGCAGCGAAGAGAAGGAGCUGACCCUCACAGCCACCCGUGUGCCCACACUCAUCGACCAUCCUCUGGUUCGUGGACUCGCAUUCACCAGCCUGAAGGUUGGCGUGGGACACCGGCUGGAUUCCCAGGCGUCUGGGGUGCUUGUGCUCGGCGUGGGACACGGACGCGGGCUCCUCACUGACAUGUACAACGCUCACCUCACCAAGGAUUACACCGUGCGCGGCCUCCUGGGCAAAGCCACAGACGACUUCUGUGAGGACGGGCGGCUGGUGGAGAAGACGACGUACGGUGUGUGUCAACUACCAACAAAAUGUUCUGAAGACAGCUACCAGGCUGACGCUUUUGGGAGAGCGGAAGCUGGAAUUUGGAGGAGGGGAGGUGUUUGUUGGUGGCACCCUCCCUCCAGGGAUGCCUGGCAUGAAAAACCUUGGACUGGGGCUCAAGGGGCCUGGCUUAGAAGAGCAGACCACGUGACCAGAGAGAAGUUGGACCGCAUCCUGGCUGUGAUCCAAGGUUCCCAUCAGAAGGCUCUGGUGACGUACUCCAACCUUGACCUACAGACCCAGGAGGCCUACGAGAUGGCCGUUAGUGGCGUGAUCCGGCCCAUGAACAAGUCCCCGAUGCUGAUCACUGGCAUCCGAUGCCUCCAGUUUGCACCUCCGGAAUUCCUCUUAGAGGUGCAGUGCAUGCAUGAGACACAGAAGCAGCUGCGAAGGCUGGUGCAUGAAAUCGGCCUGGAGCUGAAGACCACCGCUGUGUGUACCCAGGUGCGGCGGACACGGGACGGCUUCUUCACCCUGGAUGAUGCCCUCCUGAGGACCCAGUGGGACCUACCGAACAUCCAGGAUGCCAUCCAGGCUGCAGCACCCCGGGUGGCGGCAGAGCUGGAGAAGAGCUUGAGGCCUUGGCUGGGCACCCAGGAGCCCCCUGGUCCAGGCCAGCCCUGGGACUCCAAGAGGCCACGCUCUGCCUUGGGGCCAGAGAGCCACGUGGGGCAUUGACAGGCCAGCAGCUGGCGGAACAGUGGAUGUCUAAAAAUAAGAGCUGGUGGAACAGUGGGUGUCUAAAAAUAAGAAUUGUUCGUGGCUGGAACUGCUAACUGCAGAACACGAGAGCAGGAGGGGCUUUUUUGCACAUGACAGAAAGCCUGAAGCUGUAAGAGAAACCAUUAACAGGGAGUUCCCUAGUCAGGGAACUAAGAUCCUGCAAGCUGUGUAGUGUUGCCAAAGGAAAAAAAAAGAUCAACAGACUUGGCCCAGUUAAAAACUCUGUACAGAGGAAAAGAUGCUAAAUGAAUGACGGAUAAAAAAUAGUUGUUAUAAGUUUAAGCAAUAAUAUUUAUAAUAUAUAAAGAGUUCUUACAAAACAAUAAGAAAAGCAUGACAAGAAAGUUGAUCAAAUGACGUGAAUUGUGUGUUUGUAUUGUAAAAGCAAUCCAGAUGGCUAGUAAACCUCAAAUGAUGUUCAGACUCUAAUGAUGAAAGACAUUCAGAUGAAAAUGAGAUGACUUUUCCUUGCCUUUCAAAUAAAUUAAGAAAAAGAUAACAUCCAUUAUUGGGGAGGAUGUGAGAAGAUGGGCGAUUUAUACACUUGGUGCCAAGUUGCUUCAGUCAUAUCCGACUCUUUGUGACCCACAGACUGUAGCCCGCCGGGCUAGCUCUGUCCAUGGGAUUUUCCAGGCAAGAAAAUGAGUGGGUUGCCAUUUCCUUCUCCAGGGGAUCUUCCCAAGCCAGAAACUAGCGUCUCCUGUGUUGGCAGGCAGAUUCUUUACCACCAGAGCCAUCUGGGAAUACGCUUGCUAGGAAUACACAACUGUGUAACCUUUCAGGAGUAAUUCGAUGAUGAGGAAACUGAGGCAUGAAGGGGACAAAUAACAAGCCAAAGGACACCUGACAAGGGAGGCCCGAGCCCGAGACCACAUCUGUGCUGUUCGGAGUCAGCGUUACUGACCGCCACACCAUCCUGCCUCUUCUCGAGCUAUUGCUGCUUUUGUGGGGUUGUUUACUAACCAAGUCCCAGGCCUGGCACAUGGUAGGCACUUAGGCACUUUUUGUUUAAGGACCUGAGUGCCUGGGCUUCCCUGGUGGCUCAGUGGUAAAGACUCUGCCUGCCAAUGCAGGUGUCAUGGGUUCGAUCCCUGGCCUGGGAGGAUCCCAUAUGCUUCAGAGCAACUAAGCCCAUGUGCCACAAUUACUGAGCCCACACGCUGCAGCUACUGAAGCCCGGGUGCCCUAGGGCCUGUCCUCUACAGUAAGAGAAGCCACCUCAACAAGAAGCCUGGAUUCACCACAACUAGAGACUAGCAGCCCCUCGCCGUAACUAGAGAAAAAUCUGUGCGACCACGAAGACCCAGCAUAGCCAAAGGGAAAAAAACGAACUGAGUAUGUAUUGUGAUACUGUGAUGUAAAAAGAAGUAUAUUUUUGGGUCUUCCUCCCUAGCUUCCAGCCAGAGCUCCUAAAACCCUUGUAAUUUCCUAAGCGAUAAAGGUGAAAAGAACA